UUAGCCCCUUCGCCUUCUCUGACUCAUUACACUCCACAAAAAAAAAAAAACUAAACAUGCCCAUGCUAUCUACUUCCCCUCGUUCGUUUCUUCAAACUCCGCCACCGCCGGUGAAUAUAUUUUCCUCCGGCGACAAUUCUGUUCUAUCACCGUCUUCCGUCAGAUUCCGUCAGUCCGGUAUCUUCACGACCGCCGCAGCGGCGACCUGUGCUUCCGUCGAAACUGAAUCUACCACGUCAUCGGCUUCAAGGUACUCGACGCUGCCUUCUAACCUUGUCCAUGCUUCUCCGGCGUCUUUCUACGAGAUUCUAGGGAUUCCGAUCGGCGCUACGAUCCAGGAGAUCAAGGCAGCUUAUCGGAGAUUAGCUAGAGUUUGCCAUCCUGAUGUGGCGGCAAUUGAUCAGAAGGACACGUCGGCGGACGAUUUCAUGAAGAUUCAUUCUGCCUAUUCUACUUUGUCGGAUCCGGGACAAACGUGCCGAUUAUGACCGCCGCCUACUCAGAAGGCGCCGGAGUGUCAAUUUGUACUCCGGCGGCUGUUCUCCUUCAGCAAUGUCGGGAUUCACCGGCUAUACUACCAGGAACUGGGAAACAGAUCAGUGCUGGUAGCUCUCUCCGUCAUUCAAAGCCUGUUGUAUAUUUUUGUGAGGCAUAGUGGGAAAGAGAUUUUUAAAACGGAAAAAGAAAAAAACAAAAAGAAGAAAAUUAGCUAGAUUUGCUAUGUUUACUGUUAUCUGAUUAGAGUUUCUACUUUGUAUAUGCUGAUUAUUAUAACUUAAUACUAACAUGAAUUUCAAAUCUCAGAA